rnacentral:lncRNA from 1 species
GGGGAAUAGAGAUGUUGAAGAGAGAUGCCAAAGCUUUGUUGAAACUAAUAGUUAACGUCAAAGACAUAGUGACAGAAAUAAAUAAUCCAAGAAUUAUUUUAUGUUGUGUGUACCGCACAUUCUGGAAUAGUAUGAGAUGAAUAAAACUAGCAAGUGCCAUAGCCUAAUCUACUUAAUACAGGAAAUAUGGAUAGAUAACUUAAAUAAAGCUAAUGAUAGGCCUAAUAUAUUCAUAACUAAUUAGCACCUACAAAGCUUUUCAUUUAGAGGAAUAAUGGUAGAUUUUUCAGGCGAAUUUAACUAUCACGUAGGUAAAAUUUAGAGUUUGAGAUGAAUCUUGUCAAGUCUUGUCAAGGGGUGGCAUACAAUAAGGAGAUAUUUGAUUCUCUACACUAGACAAGGCAAUUUGUUCGAGUUUUUAUUUCUUACCUCUCUUUCGAGUUUUUAUUUCUUAGCUCUCUUUAAAUGUGAAGUUGUCAAAAAACUGUAACAUAAUGAUGAUCAAUUAUAACUUUUGAGUAGGUCCAUCAUCUAAACACAGAUUACAAUGGAAAAUAUAACUGUGAAAACAUGCCCACGAAGGGGUAUUGUACACAUGAUACAUCAUGAACUGCCUUAGUCUAGAUAGUUUAUACGACGAUGUAGCCUUGCCUUUUAAACUCAUGGGAAUGUGUUUUCCUUGCUAAUCUUUUUUAAUACCCAACAGCUAAACUGACCUGAAAUGAGUGUGCUAUAAUUGAACAUAAGAACAUAAGUGUAUUUGACCCACUGGAUGGUAGCUUAUCAUGAAGUGACUUCUUAUGAGUCAUGCAUAAUUAACACAAAGGAUUGAAUGUGUCUUCCAGGGAGCCUUUUCUUAGUUCCUCUGAUUGGCUCUAUCGUGAAUGUACUGAAUAAAUAUCGAAACCCC